rnacentral:rRNA from 1 species
UACGUAGGGUGCGAGCGUUAAUCGGAAUUACUGGGCGUAAAGUGUGCGCAGGCGGCCGAGCAAGUCGAGUGUGAAAGCCCCGAGCUUAACUUGGGAAUUGCGCUCGAAACUACUUGGCUGGAGUGUGGCAGAGGAAGGUGAAAUUCCAGGUGUAGCGGUGAAAUGCGUAGAGAUCUGGAGGAACACCGAUGGCGAAGGCAGCCUUCUGGGCCAACACUGACGCUCAUGCACGAAAGCGUGGGGAGCAAACAGG